AAUAAAGUCAUUAGACCAUGUUUAGCAGAAGAGGAGUGACUAAACCUAGGGAAAGACUAGGCUGCAGAGAUCUCAGAAGGAACAUUAAGCAGGCUUUGGUGUCUAAUUAAGCAGUAUUAUUAGCAGCUUUGAUAAAAGCUCUCACAUGUGUGACAUCUUAUAUUUCUUUGUGUAUCAGGAGUGGAGGAGAAACUAAAAAAAAGAGACUUUUUAAUGAUAAUACCUGAAAAGUGUUUUUCAACAGACCCAUACAUCAUUGUCAAGUGAAAAGAUUAAACUUUAUUGUUUCUUUUUGAACCAAGAACUCAAGCAGUUUCCCUAUGAUGGUGCACUGGCCACUUUCUGCUGUGAUCUGGGACAGAAGCUGAUACUCAUAAGCUGAAAUUUAGCCUGGAAAUAUUGCCAUUUACUCCACUACACAUACAUGAAGGUGAUAUGAUGUCCCCUACUAUGCUGAUUUAUUCUCCUAAAAGAGUAACCUCCUUAAACCACUUCCUUUAUUUGUGUGGCUAUGCCAGCAAAUGACACAUGUAUGUCAGUGAAGACAAAUGUUGGAAACUAGUUUGAAAUAAGGUGAAUAUUUAUGCUCAGUGGAACAUACCCCUUGUGGGAAGCUGUGAUCAUCCUGAAACUACCAUAUACAGAGCUCACAACACAUGGCAGAGGAUAAACAAUAAAAACAAGAGAUUGAAGUUGGGACCCCCUGAGUCUGUAGACCACAAUUCUACCAGGCACGAGAGAGCCUCUAUCUCACAAAAGUAGAAAGCAAGAGCUGUGUCUUGGCCACUGUUCUUUGCUUGUUUUUCAGGCAUUUUAUGCUCACUACCAUAAGUCAAGGCAGCACAUGCAGGAGGACAUGAGUCGGAAAGAACUAGAAUAAGCACAACUCACCAAAAUAUUUGGUACUGUCACAAGAAGGUUUUGGCUCCCAAAGUCUAGCCUCAGCCUCACACUGUCAACAGGAAAAAUGGGCUAAUUAUCUGCCACUAUUGCAGAGACUGUCUUUUCCUAUACAUUUUAAAGGAAGUAGGCCAAGAUCCAUAGACCUUGCAUGGGUAGACCUUCUUUGUGGAGUAAGUAGGAUUUGUUGCUCUUUAAAGCUGCAGGAUACUGAACAUAUUGUCCUACAUGAACUAAAUGUAAUUAAUUUUGUUGGGCAUCACUUCACUAUCGCUCUUGGACAGCACAGUGCAUGUUAUUAUUUCAUAGCAAUGAAUAGAUAGAUCCCACUUAAAAUUAUUUGUUAAAAGAAAAGAUUUUUAAGUUCCAACCAGAAAUAUUAUCAUGUUUUCCUUAUAUGUGUACCUGAUUUUAAAAAUAAUUAACUUAUCAUAAGAACUUCUAGUGCAUCAAAGUUAAUAAAAAGCUGAGCAACAGAAGCUGUUCAUUUGUAGGGUCAGAAAGGAAAAGAUUUUUCCUGUUCCCACUAGCUUGCACAUCACUCAACUAGCUAAAUGCAUUUUUGGAUUGGUUUAAUCUUUUUCCAGAGCUUCAGGGUCAGGCUCCUGAAUUAGACAGACAAAUGAUUCGAUCUGGGAUGGUUUUCUCAACAGACACUGUUGAUUAAUCCAAUUUUUGUGGCACAAGAUUAAGAAGUUUAACCAACCUUUUACUAAAUUUUCAAAAGUAAUGCUCAGGCAACCCUUUGUUGUCAGGAAUACUUUUUGGCAGGUUAGGGUAUUCUCCUCCAGGUGUUCCAGAUACAACCCUGUUCCUGUCCCAGUCUUGGUGUGUCCUUGCACAAUAUCACAGCUACUGCUACCAUCUCCUUGAGUUUCAUGCCAAUGUUAUUAGUGUCUCUCUUGUUUUUUCUCACGUACAAAAGGAGCACAAUGGAAUAUGUUGUAUGUCCUGGGUCCUAGGUAACAAACUAAUAAGACAGCACUCUUAUUAAACUAAACCAAUUCUUAUAUCAACUAUUUGCUGAUGGCUCCUGUUCCCCUUGAGCACUCCUAGGCCCAUAAAUGCAGACUAGUAGCAUUUUACCACCUUCAAUUUCUUCUCUCCUGCAUUCUGUGACCUUCCUCCCAGGUUUAAGCGUGUUGCUACAAGUUGCAUUCUUCAGUAGCUUUUACAGCUGGGCUGAUGCCAGAGUAUAUAUAUGAGCCUUGGUCUAGCAUGCUGAAGGCACAUCUACGCAAGACGCUGACUGUGCAGGAGCCAAAAAAUACUGCACAGUAGUGUGUCACUGCACCAACAGUGCUAAUACGCUACUGCACAGUAGUGUCACUUAAAAGGUGUCCGCUGGUUCUAUGGUGCAGUAACUGAUUACUGUGCACUUACUUAAUACUUGAUUAUCCAAGUUCUAAAUAAAUGUGCAGUAACCACUGCACAGUAGCAUUUUAUGCGGACGCACCCUGCUGGCCUAAAUCUUUAGCUCUGUUUCAGUGAGGUACUCCUGUGUCACUCAUAUUACUGUGAAAGAAAUGGGGAGUGAAGUCACUCGAGAUGUUAAUUAAUGGAAGCUGAAUCAACAGGAAUAGAUCUAGAUAUUUUUCUGUCUGUCACUUCUCCUCUGUGCCUCCUGCCCCUACCUGGUUUAUACUGAUACCCCCUCCAAACAUACUGCAUUUAUGAAAACUGAGCUGAAUUAUUAUCUCUUGUUUGAACGAGAAACUCUUUGGAUAAAAGGCCAACUUUUACAUUGUGCAACACAAUGGAGCCCUAAUCUUGCUACCAGCAUAUAAAAUCAUAAUAAGAAUAGUACUAAUAGUAAUAGUAAAUGAAAAGUACCAGAGGUAUCUACAUAUUGCAGUAGUGCCAGCUUUUGUGAUUUUUAUCAUGAGUCUUGUGAUAGUUGAUGGUUUAGAUAAUGCCACAAUGCCUAAAGGCAAGACAGCAUAUGAGAAUCUGAAAUGUCAUUUUAAAAAGUGAGUUUCUAUCUUUCAUAAUUGCUAAGAAAGUUUUGAAAAUGUAAUCUGACUGGACUCUAAAGACUCAGAAAAAAGAAAGCAAAAAAAGGCAUUAAAA